rnacentral:rRNA from 1 species
UGGGGAAUAUUGCACAAUGGGCGCAAGCCUGAUGCAGCCAUGCCGCGUGUAUGAAGAAGGCCUUCGGGUUGUAAAGUACUUUCAGCGGGGAGGAAGGGAGUAAAGUUAAUACCUUUGCUCAUUGACGUUACCCGCAGAAGAAGCACCGGCUAACUCCGUGCCAGCAGCCGCGGUAAUACGGAGGGUGCAAGCGUUAAUCGGAAUUACUGGGCGUAAAGGGUGCGCAGGCGGCUUUACAAGUUGGAUGUGAAAUAUUGUGGCUCAACCACAAACGUGCAUCCAAAACUGCAAAGCUUGAGUUAAGGAGAGGUAAGUGGAAUUCCUGGUGUAGCGGUGGAAUGCGUAGAUAUCAGGAGGAAUACCGGUGGCGAAGGCGACUUACUGGACUUAAACUGACGCUCAGGCACGAAAGCGUGGGGAGCAAACAGG